rnacentral:rRNA from 1 species
UACGGAAGGGGCAAGCGUUGUUCGGAAUCAUUGGGCGUAAAGGGCGCGUAGGUGGUUCUGUAUGUCUAUCGUGAAAGCAUACAGCUCAACUGUAUUUUGUCGGUAGAAACUGCAGGACUUGAGGCUGGGAGGGGCUGGUGGAAUUCCCUGUGUAGCGGUGAAAUGUGUAGAGAUGGGGGAGAACACUCGUGGCGAAGGCGGCCAGCUAGACCAGUUCUGACACUGAGGCGCGACAGCGUGGGGAGCAAACAGG